AAUUCGAUUAACGCGAAGAACCUUACCUGGGUUUGACAUUCAUUUGACGUAUGUAGAAAUACAUAUUUCCGCAAGGACGGAUGAACAGGUGCUGCAUGGCUGUCGUCAGCUCGUGCCGUGAGGUGUUCGGUUAAGUCCGGCAACGAGCGCAACCCCUGUUGUUAGUUGCUACCAGGUGAAGCUGGGCACUCUAGCGAGACCGCCCGUGUUAAGCGGGAGGAAGGCGGGGACGACGUCAAGUCCGUAUGGCCUUUAUAUUCAGGGCUGCACACGUGCUACAAUGGCUGUUACAGAGGGAAGCAAGACCGCGAGGUGGAGCAGACCCGGAAAAGCAGCCUUAGUUCAGAUUGCAGUCUGCAACUCGACUGCAUGAAGCCGGAAUCGCUAGUAAAGGCGUAUCAGCCACGACGCCUUGAAUACGUUCCCGGGUCUUGUACACACCG
rnacentral:rRNA from 1 species